rnacentral:rRNA from 1 species
GGGUUGUGAGGUUAAGCGACUAAGCGUACACGGUGGAUGCCCUGGCAGUCAGAGGCGAUGAAGGACGUGCUAAUCUGCGAAAAGCGACGGCGAGGUGAUAUGAACCUUUGACCCGUCGAUGUCCGAAUGGGGAAACCCAGUGUGUUUCGACACACUAUCGUUAACUGAAUACAUAGGUUAACGAGGCGAACCGGGGGAACUGAAACAUCUAAGUACCCCGAGGAAAAGAAAUCAACCGAGAUUCCCCCAGUAGCGGCGAGCGAACGGGGAGCAGCCCGGAGUCUGAAUCAGCUUGUGUGUUAGUGGAAGCGUCUGGAAAGUCGCACGGUACAGGGUGACAGUCCCGUACACGAAAGCACACAGGUUGUGAACUCGAAGAGUAGGGCGGGACACGUGGUAUCCUGUCUGAAUAUGGGGGGACCAUCCUCCAAGGCUAAAUACUCCUGACUGACCGAUAGUGAACCAGUACCGUGAGGGAAAGGCGAAAAGAACCCCGGCGAGGGGAGUGAAAAAGAACCUGAAACCGUGUACGUACAAGCAGUGGGAGCACCUUCGUGGUGUGACUGCGUACCUUUUGUAUAAUGGGUCAGCGACUUAUAUUCUGUAGCAAGGUUAACCGUAUAGGGGAGCCGCAGGGAAACCGAGUCUUAACUGGGCGUUAAGUUGCAGGGUAUAGACCCGAAACCCGGUGAUCUAGCCAUGGGCAGGUUGAAGGUUGGGUAACACUAACUGGAGGACCGAACCGACUAAUGUUGAAAAAUUAGCGGAUGACCUGUGGCUGGGGGUGAAAGGCCAAUCAAACCGGGAGAUAGCUGGUUCUCCCCGAAAGCUAUUUAGGUAGCGCCUCGUGAACUCAUCUUCGGGGGUAGAGCACUGUUUCGGCUAGGGGGCCAUCCCGGCUUACCAACCCGAUGCAAACUACGAAUACCGAAGAAUGUUAUCACGGGAGACACACGGCGGGUGCUAACGUCCGUCGUGAAGAGGGAAACAACCCAGACCGCCAGCUAAGGUCCCAAAGUCAUGGUUAAGUGGGAAACGAUGUGGGAAGGCACAGACAGCCAGGAUGUUGGCUUAGAAGCAGCCAUCAUUUAAAGAAAGCGUAAUAGCUCACUGGUCGAGUCGGCCUGCGCGGAAGAUGUAACGGGGCUAAACCAUGCACCGAAGCUGCGGCAGCGACACUAUGUGUUGUUGGGUAGGGGAGCGUUCUGUAAGCCGUUGAAGGUGUGCUGUGAGGCAUGCUGGAGGUAUCAGAAGUGCGAAUGCUGACAUAAGUAACGAUAAAGCGGGUGAAAAGCCCGCUCGCCGGAAGACCAAGGGUUCCUGUCCAACGUUAAUCGGGGCAGGGUGAGUCGACCCCUAAGGCGAGGCCGAAAGGCGUAGUCGAUGGGAAACAGGUUAAUAUUCCUGUACUUGGUGUUACUGCGAAGGGGGGACGGAGAAGGCUAUGUCAGCCGGGCGACGGUUGUCCCGGUUUAAGCGUGUAGGUGUGUGUUCCAGGCAAAUCCGGUUCACUUUAACACUGAGGCGUGAUGACGAGGCACUACGGUGCUGAAGUGAUAAAUGCCCUGCUUCCAGGAAAAGCCUCUAAGCAUCAGGUAACACGAAAUCGUACCCCAAACCGACACAGGUGGUCAGGUAGAGAAUACCAAGGCGCUUGAGAGAACUCGGGUGAAGGAACUAGGCAAAAUGGUGCCGUAACUUCGGGAGAAGGCACGCUGAUAUGUAGGUGAAGUCCCUGCGGACGGAGCUGAAAUCAGUCGAAGAUACCAGCUGGCUGCAACUGUUUAUUAAAAACACAGCACUGUGCAAACACGAAAGUGGACGUAUACGGUGUGACGCCUGCCCGGUGCCGGAAGGUUAAUUGAUGGGGUUAGCGGCAACGCGAAGCUCUUGAUCGAAGCCCCGGUAAACGGCGGCCGUAACUAUAACGGUCCUAAGGUAGCGAAAUUCCUUGUCGGGUAAGUUCCGACCUGCACGAAUGGCGUAAUGAUGGCCAGGCUGUCUCCACCCGAGACUCAGUGAAAUUGAACUCGCUGUGAAGAUGCAGUGUACCCGCGGCAAGACGGAAAGACCCCGUGAACCUUUACUAUAGCUUGACACUGAACACUGGUCCUUGAUGUGUAGGAUAGGUGGGAGGCUUUGAAGCGUGGACGCCAGUCUGCGUGGAGCCGUCCUUGAAAUACCACCCUUUAAUGGCUGGUGUUCUAACGUGGACCCGUGAUCCGGGUUGCGGACAGUGUCUGGUGGGUAGUUUGACUGGGGCGGUCUCCUCCCAAAGAGUAACGGAGGAGCACGAAGGUUAGCUAAUCCUGGUCGGACAUCAGGAGGUUAGUGCAAUGGCAUAAGCUAGCUUGACUGCGAGAGUGACGGCGCGAGCAGGUGCGAAAGCAGGUCAUAGUGAUCCGGUGGUUCUGAAUGGAAGGGCCAUCGCUCAACGGAUAAAAGGUACUCCGGGGAUAACAGGCUGAUACCGCCCAAGAGUUCAUAUCGACGGCGGUGUUUGGCACCUCGAUGUCGGCGCAUCACAUCCUGCGGCUGAAGUAGGUCCCAAGGGUAAGACUGUUCGCGCUUUAGAGUGGUACGCGAGCUGGGUUUAGAACGUCGUGAGACAAUUCGGUCACUAUCUGCCGUGGGAGCAGGAGAAUACAGGGGGGCUGCUCCUAGUACGAGAAGGCCGGAGUGGACGCAUCACUGAUGUUAGGGUUGUCAUGCCAAUUGCACUUCCCGGUAGCUAAAUACGGAAAAGUUAAGUUCUGAAAGCAUCUAAGCACGAAACUUGCCCCGAGAUGAGUUCU